rnacentral:snRNA from 1 species
AUGCUUACCUGGCAGGGGGAUACCAUGAUCCCGAAGCUGGUUUUCCCAGGGCAGGGCUCAUCCUUUGCACUUGGGAUUUCCCCAAAUGUGGGAAACUGGACUGCAUGAUUUAUGGUAGUGGGGGACUCCAU